rnacentral:lncRNA from 1 species
CAUCGGCAUAACAGUGGAAACUAAUCCCGUAUUUCCUAAUAAUAUUACCAAGGGGCAACAUGUAUAUCGAAAAUAGCAGAGGACCUAGGACAGAUCCUUGUGGCACUCCAUAUUUUACUGGUGAUAAUUGAGAUGACUCCCCAUUUAAAUGAACAAGGUGGUAGCGAUCGGACAGGUAGGAUCUAAACCAUCUAAAGCCUGCCCUUGGAUACCUGUAUAGUUUUGUAAUCGAUCUAUGAGUAUGUCAUGAUCUAUAGUAUCGAACGCAGCACUAAGAUCAAGUAAAACUAGCAAUGAGAUGCAGCCUUGGUCUGACGCAAGAAGCAAGUAAUUAGUCAUUUUAACAAGUGCAUUUUCUGUGCUAUGGUGGGGCCUGAAACCUGACUGAAAUUCUUCAUAGAGAUCUGCUGAGGUCCGAGAGCGUUGACCUGUGUGUCAGCCGUACUGCUCAUGUGUUUCACCCGUGUUUGUGACAGAAAGCCAGCAGUCCGGCCGCGGAGCAGACUCAGUCCGGCAGAGCUUCAGGACAGACGCAGAAAGCGCACAGACCGUCGGUGUAUUUCUCCUGCAGCGUGGAACAGACCGAUGAAGAACCAAUGCAGCAGGCACGUCAUGACCACACGACACUCAGCAUUAAAGAGAUCGUCCACUCACAAUUAAAAACUCUCGACAACAUUUACUCACCACAUUGUUGUACCAAACCCGCAUGACUUACUUUCUUCCACGGAACACAAAAGGAGAUUCUAGGCAGAAUGACAGCUAGGGAUGGGCGAAGUACUGAUCCUCACAUGAAAAAUAUCGAACCUAAAGUGCAUUUUUAAUCAUUCAUUUUAUUAAUUUAGCAAGAAAUUUGGUGCAUAAAAUAAGUUUCUAAGUGGAAAAAUAGACGUAAUAUUAGCGAAUGUUUGUGUAGGAUAGAACUAUUUCUCCUGCUCAUCGGAACACACACAAACGCUGAAAGAUAGAACCAACCAAUCAACCAAUCACAGACAGAUUGUCUUCGCUCGCAGUGCUUGCUCAAAUAUGGCUGUGUUUCCCAGAAGCAUCAGAAGCAGCAGCCAGUGCCACCACUGCCCUUAAAUUGCACAACUGCUCAAGAUGUUGACGUCAGUACGAUUUUAAAGAAAAUUAAUUCUUUUAUUCAUUCCCCCAUAGCCUAUAGUAACAAUAUAAACAUAUUUUUCAUCAAAUUCAGAAAAAUGUAUCACGGUUUCCGUGCAAAUAUGAAGCAGCAC